rnacentral:siRNA from 1 species
UAGCUACGUUGCAGAAUCUGGUGU